rnacentral:rRNA from 1 species
AUUACCCAAUNCCGACUCGGGGAGGUAGUGACAAGAAAUAACGGUACGGGGUCUUUAUAGGUCUCGCAAUUGGAAUGAGUACAAUUUAAAUCCUUUAACGAGGAUCAAUUGGAGGGCAAGUCUGGUGCCAGCAGCCGCGGUAAUUCCAGCUCCAAUAGCGUAUAUUAAAGUUGUUGCAGUUAAAAAGCUCGUAGUUGGAUUUCGGACGGGUCAGUUGGUCCACCGAAAGGUGUGUUACUGACUGGUCUGUUCUUCUUCGCGAAGACUACGCGUGCCCUUUAUUGUGUGUGCGUAGGAUUUACGACGUUUACUUUGAAAAAAUUAGAGUGUUCAAAGCAGGCUAUCGCUUGAAUACAUGAGCAUGGAAUAAUGGAAUAGGACUUUGGUCCUAUUUUGUUGGUUUCUAGGACCGAAGUAAUGAUUAAGAGGGACAAUUGGGGGCAUCCGUAUUUCGUUGUCAGAGGUGAAAUUCUUGGAUUUACGAAAGACGAACAACUGCGAAASSACUUGCCAAGAGUGUUUUCAUUAAUCAAGAACGAAAGUUAGAGGAUCGAAGACGAUCAGAUACCGUCCUAGUUCUAACCAUAAACGAUGUCGACUAGGGAUCAGCGGGGUUCAUUUUACGACUCCGUUGGCACCUUACGGGAAACC